rnacentral:RNase_P_RNA from 1 species
CUAGAUGGCUAGACAAUCGCUUGGCUUUGGCUGAGAGGAAAGUCCGGGCUCCAUAAAAACACAAUGCUGGAUAACGUCCAGCGGGGGCGACCCUAGGGAAAGUGCAACAGAAAAUAUACCGCCAUGUUUAACAUGGUAAGGGUGAAAAGGUGCGGUAAAAGCGCACCGCGUUUGUGGUAACAGAAACGGCAGUGUAAACCCCAUUGGGAGCAAGACCAAAUAGGAGCGGCGGGUUCAAGAUUUAUCUAUGAUGGAUGCGUUUUUACAUCAGAUCGCUCGGGUUGGUUGCUUAAAAUAUUUGGUAACAAAUAUUUCAGAUGAAUGAUUGUCUUUUACAAAACUCGGCUUAUCGGCCAUCUAGCAUU